CGAGAACUACUCUUCCCGGACAAUCGUUCCCAAGGCAACGCUCGUGCAGGCGCAGAACUUCUACACUACGAACAGAUCAGAAAGGAGACAUGUACCUAAAGAACUCGUCAAGGUCAAGGGAAGGCAUCUCAUGCCCAAUAGUACAGGAGUGUGGGGCGACCAAAUGCUGCAGAUACCUGCUAAUACACCCCUCACCAUCUCAAACUGCCAGAUUCUGGAGGUGGACUACUAUCUGCAGGUGGGUCUGAAAAUUCCCUAUGGAACCAAACUUGAAGUCAUCAUCCCUCUGGUGAUUUGCUCUAUUCCGGUGGACCGUCCUCCCGCGGUCUUCUAAAAACCUCACAGAUGCCUUGGAAAUCAGACUGCCACUAUCCUCAGUACCUGAAUGGGUCUGUACCUUGUGUUGUUUUUAUAGGUUUUUGUAGGUUGUGGGAUAUUGCCACUUUUCCAAUUUACAUGAGGUCUGUACAGGACAUUUCAGGGUUAUAUUUUCUGUCUGGGUUUUACUUCUGCCAUUUCUGUACAGUAGAACCUCAGAGAACCCAAACCCAAAGUCCGAUAUUGCAAAAGGUAUGGAAUCGGAAUACAACAUAAAUACCCAAUGACGACUGCAAAACGUGAACGUGUGACACUAUUAAAUGCGAGAAAUCUGUAAAUGAUAUUAGAAUGACAGUAGUUAGGGCGUGGUGCUGUCGCGUGGCUAAGCGUUGGACAUUCGUGCAGGGACUUGGCCGGGAGGUUCACUGCAUGCGGUUCGGAGCUUGAGACCAUGCGGCUUGAAGAAGGCAUGUGGAUCUCUUUCCAGCUGCGGCAGUGUUUCCUCAAUAUGCAAGGGCGAUUUAAAUAAAUGGUACAAUUGGCCACCAAAAGUACAGUGGUUACUCCCUGUGGACAAGGGAAUGAGCUUAACGGCUCUUGCUAAAGAAAUGCCUACAAGAAAAGUUUGCUGUCGGAUGGUAGUGAGAAGCAGGCAAAUAAUUUUAACUUCAGGAAAGGUUGCGCCUCUCUGAUGGCUGUGGCCGAUGCGAGUGGCAGCUUUCACUUCCACUUUCCAUUUGCGUUCAUCCACAAGAGUGUUAAACCUUGUUGCGUUGUCAACAUCUCGACGGAUUUGAUUCUGAUUUCGCUAUUUUACAAGUUUAGCCUAUUGUUGGUUAUUUGAUUGCCCUUUAUAUGACCGUUACUGUUUGGCCAUUGUGGUUAUUGAUUUAUUAUUACUCAAAAUAAACUGAGCUUAAGUAAAUAUUUAAUAUUGAAUAUUUAAUGAAUAUCCAAUUUUGAGUUUCAGAGUUUUCUCUGAAGUUCUAUUGUAUCUCGUACCGCCUGGUCCUUGAUUUAAUAUUAGAGUUGCUCCGAUACCAGUAUCGGAAAUGCCUCCGAUACAGCCCAAAAAGCUGGAUCGGGUAUCGGCGAGUACGCCUGUCUAUUCACCGAUCAAUAAGUAUCUUGGCAAUAUGGCAAUAUUUUACACUGGAAAAUUCCGCCAGUAAAACGGCGAUGAGCUUUGGUUUCGAGGGGUGGCACUAGUGUUGCCAAUUUCAACACCAGCAAUCUUAUAAAGCAUUUGAAGGUGCAUCACACGGCAGUGCACGAUCGGAAGUAAAGGGGAAUGGAGUUUUAAACAUUAGGUUCACAGAAGAUCUGCGGUAAACUGAACGUGAAUUCAAACUACCGGCAAACUGAACGUAGCGCUCCACUAUGCUGUAUCUACAUAAAAAUAAAAGUAGCUCAUACAUCAUUGGACAAAUGCUGCAUGGAAUAUUACAAUACGCUGUUUCCAUUCUGAACUAGCAAUAUGCAGCCAUUUCAGAGGGUUAAGAAUGCAAACACCGCAGGGAAUUGAAUGCUGAAGUACUAUAGUUAUCAAAUCUUUUUUGUGUGUUUUAAAUCUAACUGUUUCACUUAUGGCUCAUUGUAUAGCAUUUCUUCAUCCACUAUGCGAUAUCUGCAUAAAUAAAUGAAGCAAUACAUUAUCAUUAGUCUAUUUAUCCAUUGGAUAUUGAAAGCGAAAAUUCCCUGAUUUCAGAAAAACAUGGGCCAUGUUAAUCUCACCACCACGAUUGUCCCACGCCAUAUAAAAUGCAUUGGCAAAGUUUACCGUUCCAUAAAAAUAUAUGAAAUUGUAUAGAAACCUGUAUUGGCAUAAAAGUAAAAUCAUUAUACCUAUGGUAUAAUAGACCCGCAUAUUAUAUCAGGCAAGUUCUUAACAGCAGCAUAUUUACAGAUUUAAUGCCAAAUCAAGUCUAUAAAAACAUGAAGAAUUAUCAUUUUAACUGAUGCAUUUAAAAAAAUGACACACAAUUGACCAGCAUGCCGUAAACUACGGCAAUUAGGCUAUUAUCUGACUUACAAUGUUAACAUUUAACUAUUGAGAUGGCCCUAAAUUAAGUUAGAAAAUUAAAUUUAAAUUUGUCAGUACUCCAGUUAAAAAGAAAAAAAAGAAAA